UACGGAGGGGGCUAGCGUUGUUCGGAAAUACUGGGCGUAAAGCGCGUGUAGGCGGAAGGGCACGUCUGGUGCUGAAAUCCCCCGGCUCAACCGGGGAACGGGCACGGAUACGACUCUUCUGGAGGAACGUAGGGGGACCUGGAACUUCCGGUGGAGCGGUGAAAUGCGUUGAGAUCGGAAGGAACGCCCGUGGCGAAAGCGAGGUCCUGGACGUUUACUGACGCUGAGACGCGAAAGCCAGGGGAGCGAACGGGG
rnacentral:rRNA from 1 species